AAACCGUUACCAUUACUGACUU
rnacentral:miRNA from 2 species